rnacentral:piRNA from 1 species
UCUAGUCUAGCCUUUACCCAGGUUGGCAUG